UACGGGGGGAGCAAGCGUUGUUCGGAUUUACUGGGCGUAAAGGGCGCGUAGGCGGCCAGCGCAAGUCAGUUGUGAAAUCUCCGGGCUUAACUCGGAAAGGUCAACUGAUACUGUGCGACUAGAGUGCAGAAGGGGCAACUGGAAUUCUCGGUGUAGCGGUGAAAUGCGUAGAUAUCGAGAGGAACACCUGCGGCGAAGGCGGGUUGCUGGGCUGACACUGACGCUGAGGCACGAAAGCGUGGGGAGCAAACAGG
rnacentral:rRNA from 1 species